rnacentral:rRNA from 1 species
UACGUAGGGGGCUAGCGUUGUCCGGAUUUAUUGGGCGUAAAGAGCGUGUAGGCGGCCUGGUAGGUCUGCUGUGAAAACUCGAGGCUCAACCUCGAGAUGUCGGCGGAAACCAUCUGGCUAGAGUCCGGAAGAGGAGAGUGGAAUUCCUGGUGUAGCGGUGAAAUGCGCAGAUAUCAGGAAGAACACCUAUGGCGAAGGCAGCUCUCUGGGACGGUACUGACGCUGAGACGCGAAAAGCGUGGGGAGCGAACAGG